AUGAUCGUCAAAGCCAACCGUGAAGGUAAUUUGUUGCACCCCCUAAGUCCUCACAUUCCCUGCCCCAUCCUUCAAUACGCCGACGACAUGCUUAUCAUAGUUAAAGCUAUGCCUGGGGCCGCCAAACACCUCAAGAGUAUUUUAGACAGCUUCGCCGCGGCCACUGGUCUCCAGAUCAAUUUUGAUAAGACCACUUUUAUCCCUCUUAAUGUUGACCCCACCGAUGCGGCACUUAUGGCAGCUGACCUUACCACUAACAUCUCCUCCUUUCCACAAACUUAUCUCGGCCUACCUCUCUCUCCUUACAAAGUUCCCCCCUCAGCCUUCCAACCAGUCAUCGACCGUUGUGAUAUCUACCUAGCCGGGUGGUGCACGCUACUUCACUCUUGCGGUGGCAAGCUUGUUCUCCUCUCGGUCGUUCUAGACAGCCUUCCUACCUAUUUUAUGCUCUGUUUCUCUCUCCCUGUCCAGGAUUGUACACUCUCUCAGGUUCUGGAUGAUCGUCGACUGCUUAAUGGCGCUGCCUUUUCCACAAAAGGAGCAUAUGCGGCCCUCUCGGAUCCCAUUCUUAAUGAUAUUUGGGACUCAAAGGUGCCCAAAAAGCAGCUCGCAGGAUUUGAAGAGCAGUCGUCAUAUGUCCUCUAUUCAGACCUAUCAAUGGUCUCUUCAGUACGACUCUUCCGGACUCGCUGCCUACCACGGUCCACCCCUUCAUGCUCCUUCUGA
rnacentral:rRNA from 1 species